rnacentral:rRNA from 1 species
AUUCCGGUUGAUCCUGCCGGAGGCCAUUGCUAUUGGAGUCCGAUUUAGCCAUGCUAGUCGUACGGGUUCAGACCCGUGGCGAAUAGCUCAGUAACACGUGGUCAAACUACCCUAUGGACGAGGAUACUCUCGGGAAACUGAGGCUAAUCCUCGAUACAGCUCCCAUGCUGGAGUGCAGGGAGCUGGAAACGCUUCGACGGCUUUGCCGUCUUUCCGAGGCGCUUUGCGCCUCGCUCGCGCCAUAGGAUGUGGCUGCGGCCGAUUAGGUAGACGGUGGGGUAACGGCCCACCGUGCCAGUAAUCGGUACGGGUGAUGAGAGUCAGAGCCCGGAGACGGUAUCUGAGACAAGAUACCGGGCCCUACGGGGCGCAGCAGGCGCGAAACCUUUACACUGCACGCCAGUGCGAUAGGGGGACUCCG